GACGAACGCUGGCGGCGUGCUUAACACAUGCAAGUCGAGCGGUAAGGCCCUUUCGGGGUACGACGAGCGGCGAACGGGUGAGUAACACGUGGGUGACCUGCCCUCAGCUCUGGGAGUAAGCCUCGGGAAACCGGGUCUAAUACUGGAUAUGACUCCAUGACGCAUGUUGUGGGGUGGAAAGCCUUGUGCGGCUGAGGAUGGGCCCGCGGCCUAUCAGCUUGUUGGUGGGGUGAGGCCUACCAAGGCGACGACGGUAGCCGGCCUGAGAGGGCGACCGGCCACACUGGGACUGAGACACGGCCCAGACUCCUACGGGAGGGCAGCAGUGGGGAAUCUUGCGCAAUGGGCGAAAGCCUGACGCAGCGACGCCGCGUGAGGGAUGACGG
rnacentral:rRNA from 1 species